AGACGGGGUUUCACCAUGUUAGCCAGGAUGGUCUCGAUCUCCUGACUUCGAGAUCCACCCACCUCGGCCUCCCAAAGUGCUGGGAUUACAGGCAUGAGCCACCACACCCGGCGACUCAUUCUUAUACAACUACCUUUGUCAGCAUUCUUGCCAUUGGACUGUCUAGCCCUUGAUGCUGUUAUAUCAUGGCUUGUUGAUACAGAAGAUGCUACAUGAACUCAAGUGGAACUCUGACUGCCUUGAGAGCAUCCCACCAUCCAUUGCUGCUGCAUCAAGGUAUUAAAAAGAGAGACAGAAGGAAGAGGUGAGAGAAGCACAAGUUUAACAGUGUGAGGGCAUUUUGCUUAAUAAUAAGACAUUUCAUUAAAAUAUUAGCUACUUUUGU
ensembl:lncRNA LINC02679 long intergenic non-protein coding RNA 2679